GACGAACGCUGGCGGCGUGCCUAAUACAUGCAAGUAGAACGCUGAAGGAGGAGCUUGCUCUUCUGGAUGAGUUGCGAACGGGUGAGUAACGCGUAGGUAACCUGCCUGGUAGCGGGGGAUAACUAUUGGAAACGAUAGCUAAUACCGCAUAAGAGUAGAUGUCGCAUGACAUUUGCUUAAAAGGUGCAAUUGCAUCACUACCAGAUGGACCUGCGUUGUAUUAGCUAGUUGGUGAGGUAACGGCUCACCAAGGCAACGAUACAUAGCCGACCUGAGAGGGUGAUCGGCCACACUGGGACUGAGACACGGCCCAGACUCCUACGGGAGGCAGCAGUAGGGAAUUUCGGCAAUGGACGGAAGUCUGACCGAGCAGCGCCGCGUGAGUGAAGAAGGUUUUCGGAUCGUAAAGCUCUGUUGUAAGAGAAGAACGAGUGUGAGAG
rnacentral:rRNA from 1 species